rnacentral:misc_RNA from 1 species
UAUGAAGAACGCAGCGAAAUGCGAUACGUAAUGUGAAUUGCAGAAUUCAGUGAAUCAUCGAGUCUUUGAACGCACAUUGCGCCCCCUGGUAUUCCGGGGGGCAUGCCUGUCCGAGCGUCAUUGCUGCCCUCAAGCACGGCUUGUGUGUUGGGCCUCCGUCCUCCUCCCGGGGGACGGGCCCGAAAGGCAGCGGCGGCACCGCGUCCGGUCCUCGAGCGUAUGGGGCUUCGUCACCCGCUCUUGUAGGCCCGGCCGGCGCUUGCCGACACAUCAAUCUUUUUUCCAGGUUGACCUCGGAUCAGGUAGGGAUACCCGCUGAACUUAAGCAUAUCAAAAGCGGAGGA